GCUGGGUGUGGUGGCUCACACCUGUAAUCCCAGCACUUUGGGAGGCCGAGGCGGGUGGAUCAUCUGAGGUCAGGAGUUCAAGACCAGCCUGGCCAACAUGGUGAAACCCCGUCUCUA
rnacentral:SRP_RNA from 2 species